GUGCUCACUUUGGCAGCCUAUACGCUAAAAUUGGAAUGAUACAGAGAAGAGUACAUGGCCGUUGUGCCAGAAUGGCACACAAAUCCAUGAAGUAUUCCAUAUUUUU
rnacentral:snRNA from 1 species